CACGUGGACAACCUACCCUUGGGUUCGGCAUAAUCCUGGGAAACUGGGGAUAAUUCCGGAUAGGUCACAGAUGCUGGAAUGCACUGUGGCUCAAAGCUCCGGCGCCCAAGAAUGGGUCUGCGGCCUAUCAGGGUUGUAGUGGGUGUAAUGUACCUACUAGCCUACGACGGGUACGGGUUGUGAGAGCAAGAGCCCGGAGAUGGAUUCUGAGACACGAAUCCAGGCCCUACGGGGUGCAGCAGGCGCGAAAACUUUACAAUGCGGGAAACCGUGAUAAGGGAAUCUCGAGUGCCAGCAUAUAAUGUUGGCUGUCCAGAUGCCUAAAAAGCAUCUGUUAGCAAGGGCCGGGCAAGACCGGUGCCAGCCGCCGCGGUAACACCGGCGGCCCGAGUGGUAACCGCUAUUAUUGGGUCUAAAGGGUCUGUAGCCGGCCAGGUAAGUCCCUUGGGAAAUCUGGCAGCUCAACUGUCAGGCUGCUAGGGGAUACUGUUUGGCUUGGGACCGGGAGAGGUGAGAGGUACCUUGGGGGUAGGGGUGAAAUCUUGUGAUCCUCGGGGGACCACCAGUGGCGAAGGCGUCUCACCAGAACGGGUCCGACGGUAAGGGACGAAAGCUAGGGG
rnacentral:rRNA from 1 species